GGAAUGUACCUUUUCUAACAUAAGAAGUAGUCUAGUUUUCAACACAUAGAUUUUGAUGAAUCCUCACAUUAAAGACCUCCCCUGAAAGACCUGAGAAUCAUGCCUGUCGGUCUGCGAGCAAUAAGAUGAAAUUUGGUACCAGCGCUGAACUCUUUUCGGCAACAAGGCAGAAAAGCUUGUAUGAGUCAUCCACAGAGGCAAUGGCGGAUGUUGAUAACUUUGAGGUCACAGACGUUAAAUUAUUCUGAGGUUCCUUUCCAGCUCACCCAAGCUGCCUAGCUGGGAGUCCGCAACUAAAUACGAAAGCGGUGUCUUACCUCGUCGUUCGUGAGAAGUUUUACAGUUGACGGACACGUCUUCCAAGCUCUGGGUGUGAGGGCUACCUGCAAAUACAGAAGCAACUGCAUGAGGAACUCGAAUGGACAACAACGAUUCGACGGAGCGGAUGGUCAAAAGAUUGCUAGCGAUUCCUACCUUCGCGAGCUCCCUUCCCACUUGGCAUUUUGGAAUGCAAUUAGAUGACCAUUCCUGGAUUCACUCACUUCCCAAAAAAGACCACUCGAGUGGUGAUUGAAUGUGCAUUCCUUCUCAAAAACAAAAGGAAUUUAUGAUACUUUUCAUGCAAAGGAAUUUACCACUCUUCACAAGCUGACGUCAAUGAGCUGCUGGACUGGCAUACCAAACAGCUGACAUUCGAUGAAAUAUCAGAACAAACGGAUACUGUAGAAUCCACCAAUGACAAUGGGUUUCGGCUUACUUGAAAAAGUCUUUGGAGAUUCUAACAAAGCGACCCAAGAAAUGAUAGCUUUAUAGAAAUUUCACGUGAAGAGUAUCAUUGAAUUUUGUUAGGUUUUACGAGGCCACUGACAUCGAAACAAGUUUGCUUAUUUUAAAUUGCACUCUAAUCCAAGACAGCCACAACCGUCUUGGAUACGCUGACUCGAAGGUGUAUACUUUACUCAGAGUUCUUCCAAAAUUGCUAAAUAACUACAUCAAUGCUCUUCCUACUAGAGUUUUUUUUUUUUUUUUUU